GAAACCGAGGGUAAUACCGCAUGAGUCCUCAAUGACAUAAGUCGAUGAGGGGAAAGGCGGGGCUCCUUCGGGACCUGUCGCCUCUGGAUGAGCCCGCGUCCGAUUAGCUAGUUGGUGGGGUAAUGGCCUACCAAGGCAACGAUCGGUAGCCGGCCUGAGAGGGUGAACGGCCACAUUGGGACUGAGACACGGCCCAGACUCCUACGGGAGGCAGCAGUGGGGAAUUUUGGGCAAUGGGGGAAACCCUGACCCAGCGACGCCGCGUGGAGGAUGACGGCCUUCGGGUUGUAAACUCCUGUCAGGUGGGAAGAAAAGCCAGUCGGUUAACACCCGGCAGGAAUUGACGGUACCACCAAAGGAAGCCCCGGCUAACUCCGUGCCAGCAGCCGCGGUAAUACGGAGGGGGCAAGCGUUAUUCGGAUUUACUGGGCGUAAAGCGCACGUAGGUGGCAUGGUAAGUCAAAGGUGAAAGCCCUCGGCUCAACCGAGGAAUUGCCUUUGAAACUGCUUUGCUUGAGUCCGGGGAGGGGGGAGCGGAAUUCCCAGUGUAGCGGUGAAAUGCGUA
rnacentral:rRNA from 1 species